rnacentral:rRNA from 1 species
GUGUCAGCAGCCGCGGUAAUACGUAGGGUGCAAGCGUUGUCCGGAAUUAUUGGGCGUAAAGAGCUCGUAGGCGGUUUGUCGCGUCUGCUGUGAAAAUCCGAGGCUCAACCUCGGACCUGCAGUGGGUACGGGCAAACUAGAGUGCGGUAGGGGAGAUUGGAAUUCCUGGUGUAGCGGUGGAAUGCGCAGAUAUCAGGAGGAACACCAAUGGCGAAGGCAGAUCUCUGGGCCGUAACUGACGCUGAGGAGCGAAAGCGUGGGGAGCGAACAGGAUUAGAUACCCUGGUAGUCCACGCCGUAAACGGUGGGAACUAGAUGUGGGGUCCGUUCCACGGAUUCCGUGUCGCAGCUAACGCAUUAAGUUCCCCGCCUGGGGAGUACGGCCGCAAGGCUAAA